GACAGGAUGUGCUGUGGUCUGCGCCCCUCCUUCCUCUGAUCCCCAGGAACCUCUCUGCGAGUGUGGGGUUCCUGAGGUGUCCUUGACCUUCAGAAUGAGAAAUGGAUGGUCCCUAUCUUUUAUCCAAGCAGGGUCAGCUUUUAGGUUGAAGUCACCUGUCCACAGGGAACAGAUGACAGCGGCUCAGCCUGGGACCCAUCUGUCUCCUGCUUCACCACAUUUGCCCCUCCUGCCAGCCUCGUGACCAUAAGCGACAGAACGGUUUCGUUGAAUUUUCUCACUGGGCCACGCUUCACUGCAAGGGAGGUGAGACAACAUGUUUUGACUCGGAGCAGACACCUGCCUUGAGAAAACAGAAGAAGUGGAGAACGGGUGUCAGGAAAAGCCCAGUCUGGUAUGUCCAACCUGCCUGAACGUGGUGAGUCAGGAAUAUGCUCCCUUCAAGGAACAGAAAUCCUGCCCCAACAGGGCUUCAGCAAACUAGGCUUUGCUUUUUAAGGACAACAAGGAGUGCUUGGUUGCUGGUGCAGUGUAGCCAUUUCAGAGAGGACCUUUGAGGGUUGGUUUCCAGUCUCAGAGUUGGUGCCUCAUGGACGGAAGAAGGCUGCUGAGGCUCCAUACAUCAUUUUCACAUUCAAGGCAGGAAGAAGGAUGAAGAGUACUGCCAGCCUGUAUGUCCCGCUUCAGCAGGAAAACAAAAGCUUUCCAUGGACACUCCUGGAAGGCCGCAUGUGGUACUCGUUGGUCAGGACUGGAUGUCUUGGCCUCUCUAUCUGCAAGGGAGUCUGCAAAACCAACCACUUAGCUUCCAGCUUCCCUAUUAGACAGUAGACCAAAAACAUCAAUACAGGAAUUCCUAUAUUGACAGUUAAUAUCACAGUCGUGCACAGAGACUUGUACCUGCUCAAACAUUGCAGGGUCACUUAUCACUGAAAAAUCACAAACAUCCUGCAUGUUCAACGUGCAUGUUUGGGUUCCAAUCAAUGGGUCAGUCAUUCAGUAAUAACCUGUGUUACUGCUUCUGGAAAAUAGAAGGAGUUUCCGUUGUGGGUCAGUGUGUUAAGUACCCGACACCAUGGUCCCUGAGGAUGCAGGUUCGAUCCCUGGCCUCGCUCAGUGGGUUAAGGAUCUGGUGUUGCCACAAGCUGCGGUGUAGGUUGCAGAUACCGCUCAGAUCCAGUGUAGCUGUGGCUGUGGUGCAGCCCGGCAGUUGCAGCUCUGAUUGGACCUCUAGCCUGGGAAGUUGCAUAGGCCACAGGUACGGCCCUAAAAAAGACAAUAGAAGAAAGUAUGAUUUACCUUGUCAUGAUUAUGUCAAGGUUAAGAUUAGGUCGUGUCUGGCCCUCAGCUGGUCCUUAGUCAAUUGUGAUGUAAUGUAUUCUGACCUCCAGACCUCCCACCACCUGCCCCAUCUUUUACCAACCAAAAAAAAAAAUAAAAAAUAAAAAAC
rnacentral:lncRNA from 1 species